CAUCCAGACAAUAGACAGAUACAUAUAUAUACCAUCACACACAGAGAGUCCACAACGAGCACAUACAUCUCACGAACAUCACAUAUAUAUAUCACGAACAUCAUGUAUACACGAACAUCACAUAUAUAUAUAUAUAUAUCACGACCAUCCAGUAGUCCACAAGUUCACCAAAUCGAACCAAAGUUCCAAACCGCCGACACGUACGCACCGUAGGGCUGCGAGAACUCACCAUCGUCCCCAACCGUCCUGCCUCUGCGUCGAGGGUGGUGUGUCGAAGGCUCCA
rnacentral:lncRNA from 1 species